CAGUAUGUAGUUUAUUAAAAUAUAGAUUUUGGGUAUCUAAGAUAUAUUAUUUAUUUUACUGA
rnacentral:tRNA from 1 species